rnacentral:misc_RNA from 1 species
AACGCACAUUGCGCUCCUGGGUAUUCCUGGGAGCAUGCCCGUUUGAGAAUCAGUGAAACCUUCAGCGUCCCAGCCCGUGCCCUUCGGGGGUCCGGGAGGGUGGUGCUGGAUUUGGGUCCAUUUGUUCGAACCAUGGCGACCGGAGGGGGUCGCGGUAUGGGUAGAACAAUGACCUCAAAGCGAAUGUCCACGUUUCCUUCAGGCUGGAACGUCGUCCCGAGUGCUGGAAUGGUCUUCUGACUUCUUUUUGGUUCACUCACAAGGUCGCGGUCUUGGCAUGAGGUGUCGUGAGAACUCCACUGUUCACAGCAGGUUGCCUGUACCUUGGGUCGGGCGGUCUGUUAACUUGGUCUCAGAUCGGGUAGGAGAACCCGCUGAACUUAA